rnacentral:rRNA from 1 species
UACGUAGGUCCCGAGCGUUGUCCGGAUUUAUUGGGCGUAAAGCGAGCGCAGGCGGUUAGAUAAGUCUGAAGUUAAAGGCUGUGGCUUAACCAUAGUACGCUUUGGAAACUGUUUAACUUGAGUGCAAGAGGGGAGAGUGGAAUUCCAUGUGUAGCGGUGAAAUGCGUAGAUAUAUGGAGGAACACCGGUGGCGAAAGCGGCUCUCUGGCUUGUAACUGACGCUGAGGCUC